AUAGUUACUGGCUGGACAGAUACUGUGAUCAUGAAGGUGGUUUCCUAGGGCGAGUUUCACUCAUUGCACUGUGGGUGUGUUGACCUCUGCGGUUUCCCCAAAUGCGGGAAACUUGACUGCAUAAUUUGUGGUAGUGGAGGACUGUGUGUGCGCUUUCCCCAG
rnacentral:snRNA from 1 species